rnacentral:lncRNA from 1 species
GAUGCAGGACUUAACACGCGCUCAGACCUCGCGCAGCUGUUAGUUCAUGCCGCGUGAUAAAGCGCGUCACUUCGACAAUCGUUCGUCUCUUGCGCGCGCACACACUCACUAGUGUAGACUGUCAGCGAAGCUCUGUUACAAGACUUCGGUUGUCUUUAGCUUACUACGGUAAGUAAGAAGUACUAGAAAUAGUCAUUUCUUUCAAAACUGGAAGCCAGCAUCGUACAUAAGAAGACAAAGAUACAGCUGUAGCUUUCUUGAAGAUCUGCGUGGGACCUUUAGCAGGCCCUUGUGCUGUUCAACACGCAGCACCAGGGUUGUGUUAGGUGUGUCAACAGGGCAGUCUGUAGGAAAGCUCAAAACCACACAAUGGCUAUAUGAGGUCUGUCCCCCCAAGGGAAAUUGAACGCCGGAUUUUAGCGUUGAAA